rnacentral:lncRNA from 1 species
CAUCUUCAGGUGACUUUCUGAGAUGCUAUUUCUGGCAAUUGUGGUGGUAAAUCCUUCAACAUUUGGAUCACUGAGUUCUUCGAUUUUCUUCCUUCUCUUCAGAAAUUGAAGUUGUAAAAUUGUUUGAGAAGUUUUAUCAGUUCCUGGAUGCAUUUGAAUAACACUAACCAGAGGACCAAGUAAACUAUAUAGUUUGGAUGCAUUUGAAAACUACAUAUAUAGUUUGAAACUACAUAUAUAUAGUUGAAAACUACGCUAGUCACAACACA